UACGAGGCGCAAGAUUCGGGACUUU
rnacentral:piRNA from 1 species